UACGUAGGGGGCAAGCGUUGUCCGGAUUUAUUGGGCGUAAAGAGCGUGUAGGCGGUCUGGUAGGUCCGUUGUGAAAACUCGAGGCUCAACCUCGAGACGCCGAUGGAAACCCUCAGACUAGAGUCCGGAAGAGGAGAGUGGAAUUCCUGGUGUAGCGGUGAAAUGCGCAGAUAUCAGGAAGAACACCCGUGGCUAAGGCGGCUCUCUAGUACGGUACUGACGCUGAGGCACGAAGGCGUGGGGAGCGAACGGG
rnacentral:rRNA from 1 species